rnacentral:sRNA from 1 species
CAUAACCUGAGAUGUGCGUUUGGUUUAUUUAAUUACUUCCACAAUAUGACAUACGGGAUUUCAGCAUUGAUGAUGUGGAUGUCGGGCCACCUCGAGUGGAUGGCAGAAGCAGUCUCCGAGAAAACCCACCUAGCUAUACAGCUGGGAGUCACUUAUAAACUGAAGGCCUCUUGGGCUUUUU